CGCCGCUCCCGGUGCCCCGGCCCGGCCCGGCCCGGCCCGGCUGCCGGCGCCGCUCCUCCCCCGGCCCCGCCCCGGCGGCUUGUAAACACGGCAGUGGCUUCCGCCACGGCGCCGCGACGCCUCGCGAGAGACCGGGUCUCGCGAGACAGGGACGCUCCGGGCCCGCCCCCGCCCCAGGCGACUGUCAAGUACAGGCCUCGCGCUUGGCUCGAGCGCGGUUGUUUUCCAGCUCCCGUGCGCGCGUUCGCGCGCGGGGCGGCGGCCGCCCCUGGGACUCGGUGUGAGGGGAGCGCUGCUGUCCCUGUGGCGGUCCGGUGAAAGUGGGGUCCGGCCCGUUCCUUCAGCCCUAAGCAGGCGUCUGGUUCAGUUCUCUGUGUGACAGGGAGAGGCGGCAGUGCAGUGCGCUGUGUCUCAUCGUUCACUGAGUUGUGUCUGUGAUUGCAUUAUGUGAAAGCAUGACAGUGACAGGGGUACCAACACUGCCACGCGAACAGGUAUGUGCUGACAGGCUGGUGGCAUUCAUCAUCCAAAUAAGAUCCCUUGAGAGAAAUGACGCGUUGAGCUAAGCACACUGCUGAACAGCCGAUGAGCUGGACAGCUAAUUGCUGGUGGUCGUCCUUAUCUGUACAAUCUUUUACAAAGGCAAUAGAAGAAAACUGUCAUGAAGGGAUUGAGUAUAACUUCCAUUGGUGGAGCUAAGGAUGACCAGAGUUUGCAGAGGCACUGUAACAGACUGAAAGAGCACUGAGGGGAAGAAAAUGGGAGAGAAAAGAGAAAGUAGGAGGAAAGGCGAGACACCUUGAAAACAAGAAGUAAAAAUCUAAUUAACAGCAAGCAAAAGCCCAGGAUUCCCUUUGUUCCCUUUGCAGAUGCGAUCCUCAGACAUUGCAGGCGUCUGUGGUCUCUCUGAGGGAGCCUACGUUCCUGGUGUGCUGCAGCUCUCGGACAUCCCUGCACUAUGGGGACUGGCUCUGCAACACAGCAAUGCUGGGGGGAGUUUUCCUUCACCUCAUGUGGUUAGACAACAUUGUCUCUUCAGGCACAGUACUUCUGUAAGGUUGUAUUCCGUUCUUCUGCUCCCCUGCCUCAACCCCCUUCCCAAAUCGGGAUCAGGCAAUGGCACAACCAUAGUAGCCACAAAAUUGUAAGUUUCAUGCUUGGGAGGGAUGUCUUUAUUACAACCAAAUCCUUUGCCAGUUUAUUUCAGCUGUAAUAAAAUUUUAGCUUGCUUUCUUUGGGAGACA
rnacentral:lncRNA from 1 species